ensembl:lncRNA
GUGUCAGAAAAAAAGUUGUCAGGUGUCAGAAAAAAAAUUGUCAGGUGUCAGAAAAAAAGUUGUCAGGUGUCAGAAAAAAAAUUGUCAGGUGUCAGAAAAAAAAUUGUCAGGUGUUAGAAAAAAAAUUGUCAGGUGUCAGAAAAAAAGUUGUCAGGUGUCAGAACACAAGGUACCAGAGAGAAAAUCUUCCUGCAGGUGGCGCUGUUGUCAUGUCCCACCCGAAUUGAUUUCCAAAUACGUCAUCAACGUGUGACCGUGGGAGAGCGUAAGGUCAUUGACCUCACCGGAGUUUUACCGUGGUUCAGGCUCCUAACGACACAAGGUAAGUUUAACUUUUUCUCCCUUUUGUUCAUAUUUUUGCCACAGUUGUGUUAUAUUAAGUUGCAGUUAUGUUGUGAAAGUUA